rnacentral:rRNA from 1 species
ACAUGCAAGUCGUACGCUUCUUUUUCCACCGGAGCUUGCUCCACCGGAAAAAGAAGAGUGGCGAACGGGUGAGUAACACGUGGGUAACCUGCCCAUCAGAAGGGGAUAACACUUGGAAACAGGUGCUAAUACCGUAUAACAAUCGAAACCGCAUGGUUUUGAUUUGAAAGGCGCUUUCGGGUGUCGCUGAUGGAUGGACCCGCGGUGCAUUAGCUAGUUGGUGAGGUAACGGCUCACCAAGGCCACGAUGCAUAGCCGACCUGAGAGGGUGAUCGGCCACAUUGGGACUGAGACACGGCCCAAACUCCUACGGGAGGCAGCAGUAGGGAAUCUUCGGCAAUGGACGAAAGUCUGACCGAGCAACGCCGCGUGAGUGAAGAAGGUUUUCGGAUCGUAAAACUCUGUUGUUAGAGAAGAACAAGGAUGAGAGUAACUGUUCAUCCCUUGACGGUAUCUAACCAGAAAGCCACGGCUAACUACGUGCCAGCAGCCGCGGUAAUACGUAGGUGGCAAGCGUUGUCCGGAUUUAUUGGGCGUAAAGCGAGCGCAGGCGGUUUCUUAAGUCUGAUGUGAAAGCCCCCGGCUCAACCGGGGAGGGUCAUUGGAAACUGGGAGACUUGAGUGCAGAAGAGGAGAGUGGAAUUCCAUGUGUAGCGGUGAAAUGCGUAGAUAUAUGGAGGAACACCAGUGGCGAAGGCGGCUCUCUGGUCUGUAACUGACGCUGAGGCUCGAAAGCGUGGGGAGCAAACAGGAUUAGAUACCCUGGUAGUCCACGCCGUAAACGAUGAGUGCUAAGUGUUGGAGGGUUUCCGCCCUUCAGUGCUGCAGCUAACGCAUUAAGCACUCCGCCUGGGGAGUACGACCGCAAGGUUGAAACUCAAAGGAAUUGACGGGGGCCCGCACAAGCGGUGGAGCAUGUGGUUUAAUUCGAAGCAACGCGAAGAACCUUACCAGGUCUUGACAUCCUUUGACCACUCUAGAGAUAGAGCUUCCCCUUCGGGGGCAAAGUGACAGGUGGUGCAUGGUUGUCGUCAGCUCGUGUCGUGAGAUGUUGGGUUAAGUCCCGCAACGAGCGCAACCCUUAUUGUUAGUUGCCAUCAUUUAGUUGGGCACUCUAGCAAGACUGCCGGUGACAAACCGGAGGAAGGUGGGGAUGACGUCAAAUCAUCAUGCCCCUUAUGACCUGGGCUACACACGUGCUACAAUGGGAAGUACAACGAGUCGCGAAGUCGCGAGGCUAAGCUAAUCUCUUAAAGCUUCUCUCAGUUCGGAUUGUAGGCUGCAACUCGCCUACAUGAAGCCGGAAUCGCUAGUAAUCGCGGAUCAGCACGCCGCGGUGAAUACGUUCCCGGGCCUUGUACACACCGCCCGUCACACCACGAGAGUUUGUAACACCCGAAGUCGGUGAGGUAACCUUUUGGAGCCAGC